rnacentral:rRNA from 1 species
CUCUAUGGCCAAACCACACUGAAUGCACCCAAUUUCAUCUGGUCUUGGAAGCUAAGCAGGAUUGGGCCUACUUAGUACUUGGAUGGGAGAAAAGAGAAGUUUGAAGUCUUUUUUU